rnacentral:lncRNA from 1 species
CGGUCAGUCAGGAUAUUCGGUAAAGGUUUCGGUCAGUCAGUAUAUUCGGUAAAGGUUUCGGUCGGUCAGUCAGGAUAUUCGGUAAAGGUUUCGGUCGGUCAGUCAGUAUAUUCGGUAAAGGUUUCGGUCGGUCAGUCAGGAUAUUCGGUAAAGGUUUCGGUCAGUCAGGAUAUUCGGUAAAGGUUUCGGUCGGUCAGUCAGGAUAUUCGGUAAAGGUUUCGGCCGGUCAGUCAGGAUAUUCGGUAAAGGUUUCGGUCAGUCAGGAUAUUCGGUAAAGGUUUCGGUCAGUCAGGAUAUUCGGUAAAGGUUUCGGUCAGUCAGUAUAUUCGGUAAAGGUUUCGGUCGGUCAGUCAGGAUAUUCGGUAAAGGUUUCGGUCAGUCAGGAUAUUCGGUAAAGGUUUCGGUCGGUCAGUCAGGAUAUUCGGUAAAGGUUUCGGCCGGUCAGUCAGGAUAUUCGGUAAAGGUUUCGGUCAGUCAGGAUAUUCGGUAAAGGUUUCGG